CCCAACUAAAGUUUGUCUCUUAAGUGGGGUCGGAAUAAGGUUGUGGCUAGGAAGAUCCUGACAACCCAGGGCCAGUGAGUGUCUCGGAAGCCUGUGAGGGGCGGAGACCCGGCCCGGGGAGGUGGAGAAGCUCGCCGGCCGCGGAAGACUAGGGGUGAGGCUGCUGCGAGGAAGACCCGGUCAGCUGUCCCUUCCCCCAUCGGUCCUCUUAGGGGAAGUGGAGAUGUGGGCCUCGGAGCUGCGUGGCCCGGGCUGUGCGGAUUCCCUAAACGCCGCACUUGCGCACAGCCCCUUACGUAACCGUCAGUGCCGGGGAUUCCCUGGAGGGGGUCAUUCUAUUCAACCAUUAUACACACCCCGGGCUCCUGCCGCCGCGCCGCCGCCGCCUCACAAAAUGGCGGCGCCCAUAGAGGAGACCGCGGCCGCCUCCCCGGCCCCAUUUUGUGGGAGGCGAGAGAUCUGUCAACAUGGAAAACCUCUGCUGAGGAUGCAUCCGAGUUUGGAAACCCCACUUAAGGGAUGGAGCCUGGGGGAUCACAUUAAACGGAAAAUGCCAACGACUUCUACCACCUCUACGCGUUUUUAGUUUUUCAUUUUCUCGAAGGAAGCGCCAGAAGCCUGUGGAGUAAUUGUAACUAGAGGGAGAACGGAAAGCUGAGGUGACUGCUCCGGGGACUUGGCGCGGCGCCUUGGUGGCUUUGGUUGCUCUUCCACGCUCCCGGCAGCUGACCAGAAUCUCUUGGAGGGUCUCCUGGGCCACCUCGGCCGCGCCAGUCGUGCAGUGAGACUUCUGUAGUUUUAAAAUGCCACAGUCCACGGCCCGGUCGGCACCGCUCGCCUGAAUCGUGGGCUUUGGGAACCUUGGAGGCUGCUGCUCCAGGAACUCGCGGUCGGCCGGGAGCCGGGGAGCUUCGUUGCUGGGAGCGGGCGGUAUUCGCGGACUCCGGCGGCCCUGGCGGGUCGCGGCCGGGAUCCGAGCCGGGGAUGACGAUGCUGAUGGAGCUGAUGGGGCAAGAGUGGGAACGGAGGCACGUACACUGAAAUUUAAGUCAUCCAAGUUGGGACUUAAGAUAGCAGGUUAAUAUUGUCUCAGGCGAGACUUAGAACGUCUUUUCUGGUAUCCCAGUCUGCAGUGGGCAAAUCUAUUGUCUUUAUUUCUCAUUUAAGGGCAGAAUGGAGGGAUGACAUAUUUUUACUUUUCAAGAGGCGGUUGCCACUUUUAAGUCACUGUUGUGUGUGUGUGUGUACAUACACAAACAUACGAUAGUGUGUUUUCAGAGCAAGUAUCAAAGGCUAAAGACUUGGAGUGAUACUAGUGUUUAAAAGCCUUUUUAAAAAAAUUAAGAUGUGAUGAGAAACUGGAGAAUUGACUUUUAAAAAUUUCUUUUCUGUAGAAGAGGCUAUCUUCAAAAUGGAGUCCUAAAGUAUAUCUGAUGGAUAGAAUUUAAAUUCUUAACACUGUAUAUACCCUGUGGUCAAAAGCAUCAACGUAAAACUUGAUGUUUAUCAGAUUACUUAUGUUUCAAUUUUCCUGUGGUUAGAAAAAUUAAGACAGAAGUAAGCUAUUAACGGUAUUUGCUUGUAAGAGUAACGUUAAAGGUUUAAGGAAAGGUUUGUUGAAAUCGAUAUGCAUCACACGAAUCAUUUAUUUUCAAUGUUGUUUUCCAGUUGCAGCAAUCAUUUGUGUUUACAUGACUUUGAAAAAGGGUUUAGUUUAUGUUGAUUUUGACCCUCUUAUUUAAUCUCUAGUGCAGAAGUGCAGCUUUCUGCAGGCUGCGCCUCAAUCGCUAAGUUCCACUCUCCAUCCUCUGCCGCGCUACUCCUGGCAUGUGGAUCACCAAGAUACAAUUUCUGGUCCUGUCUGUUCUUAUUGAUGUCCUUUACAGUUAAUAAAUUUGAUUGCCACUAAUCAGUCUGUAUCUCUUGCAAAAACACCACAUUUAGCAUCCAAGUAGAGUCAGAGUAUGUUUUUUAUGAGAUUGUACUAAAGUAACCUUCUAUUACAUUUCUUAUUACCAUAUUGCAUUUCCUAUAGUGGGCAGCAUAGAGCAGGUGGAUCCUGACAAAGUAAUGUUAGAGAUGUGCUGACAGCUUUACAAUAGAUAUUCUCCAACUAAUUUGACAAGAUAUAAAAUAAAAUGUAGUUCGUAGUUUUCAAGCAUUAAUGGAAAGUGUUCCUAUUAAAAAAUUACCAAUAACAGUGGAAAUUGUUGCAAUCCAAUUUGUAUAGUUUACUGUUUUGAUGACAAAGCGCUUAUGAUGGGAAAAAUGUAGUGUUGCUUUUGUAACUGCAAACGCUGCACGCCGUAAUUAGAGGUUUAUGUUAUUUUAUUUGAAUUUUUCAUUCUUACCAUCAGUUUUCAUAUUAGUCAGGAAAUUGUGAUAAAUUAAAAAUUCCCUCAUUCAACUAAACCUUAAAAAACUGUACCCAGUUUCAAAUCAAGCAUUAUCAGGUGUAUGAUUACAACAGCUGAAAUAAAUUGAGGAAUUGGUAUGCCAACUCAGUGGAGAAAUUUUGGGAUUUUAGGUCACUCUAAGAUUUAAAAAAAUAGUUUGAUUCGUUAAACAAGGCUAUUGAAGUUAAAUUGAUAUUUCCUUAAAGAUGAUUUUAGAGAAAAAUUCCUUGGCGAGCUUCGAGAAUGCGUUCAUGGCUUCUGUUGCCUGUACCUACUGCUAUACUUUUUUAUGUGGACUAAUUUGUCUUAUUUGAAAAUUUGAUUACAAUAUCAAAUCCUAGAUGAAGCCCUUCCAUUCUUAGGGUGAUUCUAAGGAGUACUGAUAACUAAGCUCUUAAAAGGCGAGGAAAUAGUUUAUUCUACUGCAGAUUAGGGUAAUCUUAAUACAGACACUCUGAUGGUAAUUCUAAGCAGUGUUGAUAACUAAGCUUUUAAAAGAUAAGGAAAUAGUUUAUUCUACUUCAGAGUAGGGUAAUUUUAAUGCCCUGAAUAUACUCUGAAUCUUUUAUAGAUAGAUUUCUGGAUGAUUUGGCCCAAAAAAUCUGAUAAGCUUUGGGGAAUUUUUUAAUUUUUUUUUCUCUUAAAGAGAAAUCAGAAAUGUGGGAUUUUUUUAAAAAUUUAUUUUCAGUAGAUAUUGGAGAUUAUGCUUUGUACAUUAAAUCCAGUUUGAUUUUUAAGUGAUAAUUUUCAAUUAAAGACUUUUUAAUAAGACAACUAAAAAAUUAAAUUUUAGUCAAUUACAAUAAUAUUUUUUGGAGAAGCAUUCCCAGAUGUGCUUUUGACGGGGAGUUGAUUUCAUUAGUUGUUUGGGUUGUUUAAUCCAGAAUUUUUAAAACUGUUAUGGGUUUAAUUUGCUACAUUUGUCCAUUCUUAUUCAUUUCAUCUGUUUUGAUCACUGAAAAGUUGUCUAAAAACUGUGCUCAUUAUACACAGUUUAUAGUAUUUUAAUACUUUGUUUAUAGUAUUUAAUAGCUUCUGAAAACUUUAAGAGAACAUACUAAACCAAGGAACUAUUUAUUAAUGGUAAUCUAUAUUUAGUAAUAAAUAUAUUUGUAACUUACUAAAUGUAAGUUUACUAAAUGUAGAUUACUAAAUCACUGAGUAAAUAUUUCUUGAAUAUUUGGACAAGAGAUGGGGGGAGGGAGAAUGACUUGACCCUCAAGAAACUUAACUGCUACCUUUAAAAGGUUAUAAUGAAGCUGGGCACAGUGGUACACACCUGUAGUCCCAGCUACUCAGGAGGCUGAGGCAGGAGGACCCCUUGAGCCGAGGAGUUCGAGGCUCUGUCUCUUAAAACAAAAAAAGUUAUAAAAAUAUUCAGACUGGAGGGUUCCUAACUUUUAAUACUUAAGCAGGGUCUUUACCACAGAGUUAAAUUUAAAAUUCUGUUUAGAAUGGUAACAAAUUUAAUUAUGUACAAAACAGCAUCACUUUAGUGUUAGGAUCAGUGUUACUCAAAGUGUUGUAAUGUUAAUAACAAGCAUUUAAAUCACAUUGUUUGAAAACUGGGAUCUACAAAAAAUAUGAUUCCAAUAAUUAACUUUUUAAUUAUGGGAAAGGCAAGGGAAUGUUCAGUGAAUGUAAAAAAAAUAUACUACUGAGCAAACAAAUUGUUUUAAUGAAUUUUGAUUUUCUGUUUUAAUUUUUUGGUACAUUGACUCUUCUUGACAUGGCACUUUGCUAUUAAUUAAAAAAAAUUAAACCCCAAAGACAAAUUAAUUCUGUAUUUAAUGCAGAUUUAAUUCUUGACUAGCUGUAAUGCUUAAGGAGUUGGCAGUCUUGUUGGCAAAACAAUAAAAUAGGAAUUAAGCUGAAAUGUAAAAUUGUGUAAUAAUUAGGUUUCAUUAAAGUAUAUAUAGUUUCCUUAAUAACUACAUGAGUCAGUAGUGUUGACUUAAUAAUAAGUUAUUUAGCUUUUGCUUUUCUCUGAAAACAUAUCAAACUCUUCAUAUAUAGCAUCGAAAUAGAUAUUCAACCUGAGCCACUGUAAAUUGUUGAAGCUUAUUGCUAUACAUUAAGGGAAAUUCUAUCCAACAGUUCAGUGUAAACAAUUUUUUAAAGGUGCUAUGAUUCUUUAACAUGAUUUGUAGUAUGUAGAACUCAAGUAUUCUAGAAUAAUCUUUGCAUGAUAAUGUAUGAGAAACAUUUAUAAACAGUCCUUCAGGUGUACAAAAUAACUGACAUAAUAUUUUGCAUUUAACUACACUGCCUCCAAGUAUUUUAAACAAAGAUGAAAUUUUUAGAGUAUUGUGCUAUAUUUUUAUAACUGAAUUUCCCUCUUAUUAACAAUACUCAUAACAUUUAGCCAUUAAUGAUUACUGAUAGCUUAAAUAAGAGUGUAGUUUCUGUUUCUAAUGUCUAUUAAUUUUAACCCCAUUUAAAGAUAUUUCCUACUUAUCAUACUCAAAGUUAAUCAGAAGUUAAAUAAAUGAUGGUCCUUCUGGUUCUCUGGAAACUGAAAAGAAGCUUCUGUUUCUUUAGGGUAUGCAGGAAUUUUUUUUCUUCCCAGUGAGCUGAAUCCAUCCUUUACGCUGCUAUUUGCUAACCUCAGUUGUUUUUCUGCUCCAUUAAAGUUGAGGCCACCAAAAAUAGUAGUAAUAUCACAACUACAAAACCCUGGGUGGAUUUGUACCCAUUGCACAUACACUUCUUGCUGCCAAUUCCUAAGAGACUUUUGAAAUAAUAGUAUAUUCCCAGCUGGACAAUAUAUUCUACUUGUGGCCUAUGUAUAGUGUUCAACAAGUCCAGGAGCCCUAUGAAACGGAAUGUGUUUACUGCAUUUUUCUAGGGAGAAGUUCUCAGCAGGCACGGGCAUCUUAAAGACCCUGUGAUGCCCAAAAGGUUAAAGCUCUAUUUGCUAAUGACAGAUAGUAAGUUUGGAGGAUUGCUUCAGGUGCAGCAUUUUAUUUUGUGGGUUGUUGGCCUGUAGGGAAAAACAUUUUGAAAUUGUAGUUAAGGAAUACCACUUCAGUUCAUCAAAUUAAAAAAAUUAUGGCAAAUAAGCAAAAAUCUAUUUCUAAAGAACUACAUACAAUAUAUUCUUACAGAAAAUUUUAGAUUAAAUGCAUGUAACUGUUUUUUUGGUUUGCCAUGUAUUGAAAAUGGAUGGAUGGGGGAUUACAUUAGUUGAUGUAUUUAUUUAUUUAUUUUUGAGGCGGAGUCUCACUCUGUUGCCCAGGCUGGGGUGCAGUAGCGCAGUCUCGGCUCGCAACCUCUGCACCCUAGGCUCAAGCAACACUCGCACCUCCACCUCCUGAAUAGCUAGGACUACAGGUGCACGCACCAUACCACACCUGGCUAAUUUUUGUAUUUUUUUAUAGAGACAGGGGUCUUGCUAUGCUGCCCAGGCUGGUCUUAAACUCCUGAGCUCAAGCAAUCUGCAUGCCCAAGCCAUUGGCCCAUCUUGGCCUUCUAAAGUGCUGGGAUUACAGGCGUGAGUCACCAUGGUCAGCCCAUAUUAAUUUAAAGUAGGCUUCAAAUAUAAUUAUUCACUAAUUGGGAAUGCCUGGGGAUGUAUAUGAAUGUAUUACCGUUUUGUGAGUAGUAGUGUGUGCUUGUGUUCAUGGAUGGCAUUCAUCAGAAUGUUUGCAAUGGUGUAGCCAGGUUACACUGCCAUCUUCCUGUUCUCCUUUGUGCUUACUUGCUCUGCCUGUAUUUGCUGCAGUUUCUAGCGAGUGUAUGUAGGUGUUGGCCCAGAACUUGCUUUUGUAGAGAUCAUACAUUGUGCUAAUUUAUCCCAAAUCAGUUUUUGUGUAUUAUCUGUGGGCCCAAUGUGUAAUUUGAACUUUAAGGAUACUACUUCAGACUGCAGUGUAGCAUAACCUUUAAAAAAAAAAAUGCUAGUUUUGCCCUAAUCUGUGCAUAUUCCAGUUGUUCAAUGGGUAUUAGUAAUACAUGAAUUACUUCUGUGCCCUUUUUGGUGUAGAGUCUCAUAUGAAUAAUUACUGUUAUUUAAAACCCACGACUCCAUGCAUUGUUUUGGUGGGAGAGGGUAGUUUCCCAUCAUGUUUUACAUAUAUGUUAGCAUUCAGAUUUUCCUUUUUAGCCCACUCCCUACUGAACUGAAGGGAAAGGGCGUAUUUGAGAGAAAACAUAUGCUUUACUCAGGUUCCAAUAAUUAAGCCAAUGCACUUGAUUUAAGUUAUACAUUUAGCUCAUUCUUAAAGUGUAAUAAAGACUUUAAGCCUCCUGGCUCCCAAAUCAGUGCUUUUUCUACUAAACAUUCUUUCUGUCUUGCUAAAAAAAUCCAAUUUUCAGAAUCAAGUUAGUUGCUAAGCAAAUAU
rnacentral:lncRNA from 1 species